rnacentral:misc_RNA from 1 species
GGCACAAUGUCCUAGUGGAAAUUUUCUAAACAUGAAGUCAAAUGCCAUUUGCUAUGGGAACUUGUUUUGGCUUUCAUACGUGUUGAUGUGCGUCAUUUGCAGUUGCACAAUCUAACUAGUUCUCAUUAUGUUUUGCCGAAAAUCCCAAAUAAUGAUGAUUUGAAAAUCAGGCCUUGUCUAAGGGCUUGUGUUCAUCACUAAUAUUAAAUCAGUUGUCUUGGUAUUUAGUAAUGGAGGAUCAAGGCAUACUCGGUGAACUAAUGGUAAUGAUUGGCUAUUGGGCACUAGGUAUUAUGCAGCAAUGCUGUGAGAUUUGAGAACGAGGAGAGCAAGUAAUUGCAAAUAAAGCUAAUAAGAGAGUGGAGAAGCGCAAGCGGUUGCUAGUUUCUAAUAAAACUCGAGGGAUCACACCUGCACAUAACUGCUAGUUAUCUUUGAUUCAGAAUUUCCUAGGUUUCCAUCAAUUUUGCCAAGAAAGUUCUUGAAGCAUGGACGAGCAUAGGUCUAACCUCUUGAUUCAAUUGAUGAGAAGGGUACCUAAAGAUUACUUUUGUUUGAAGAGGGUCAUGUAAUAAUUCCCAUCUCAGACUAUAAAAUCAUAAGUAAGGGGAUGAAAUGCUGCAAUUCCAAUGUUACAAUCAUUGACGUGUUAAUAACACCUUGGGCUCUUGUUUUUUUUUAAUGGCCAACUUUCGGAAGAG